UUUCCGUAGGUGAACCUGCGGAAGGAUCAUUAAAAAUAUCACACGUUUAUGGUGUGAUUUAAUAAUCAUCCUACCUUUGUGAAUUUGUUUUGUUUGAAAAUUUAUGUGGUCUAUCCCUGAUGGUUUUUGGAAAGUUGAAAAACUUUUCGAAUCCAGGACUAGGCUUCAUAGACUUUUUUUAAAUUAAACUUUUUGUAUUCAUUUGUCUAAAAUUUAUUUUAAUAAUUUAAAAACAACUUUGACAAUGGAUCUCUUGGUUCUCGCAACGAUGAAGACGCAGCAAAAUGCGAUAAGUAAUGUGAAUUGCAGAAUACGUGAAUCAUCAAAUCUUCGAACGCAUAUUGCACUUUUUAGUUUACUAAAAAAGUAUGUCUGUUUGAGUAUCAGUAAAUAUUCUCAUAAAAAAUUUUUGCUUUUAUGGUUAUGAGUGUUUUACAACGAUAACAAGUUGUUUCACUUUAAAUUGAUUUUUUAAAAUAAGCCAAUUUGGUUUUAUUAUUAAAAUUGGAUAAAAUUUUCCCGUAAAAAGGAAUAAACUUUUCAGUUUUAAAAUAAAUCUUAAUUGACUUUGUAAAAAGGAAAUUUAUUUAAAUAACUUGAUCUCAAAUCAGAUAAGAGUACCCGCUGAACUUAAGCAUAUCAACAAGCGGAGGAAAAGAAACUAACAAGGAUUCCCUUAGUAACGGCGAGUGAAGCGGGAAGAGCUCAAAUUUGAAAUCUUCAAGGUUCUACCUGACGAAUUGUAGUUUAAGAAGUGUUUUCUGUUAGUGAGUGGCAAAAGUUCUUUGGAAUAGGACAUCAUAGAGGGUGAGAAUCCCGUAUUUGGUCAUUCCUUCUAGCUUUGUGAUACACUUUCAAAGAGUCGGAUUGUUUGGGAUGCAGUCCAAAAUGGGUGGUAAUUUCAUCUAAAGCUAAAUAUUGGCGAGAGACCGAUAGCGAACAAGUACCGUGAGGGAAAGAUGAAAAGAACUUUGAAAAGAGAGUUAAACAGUACGUGAAAUUGUCAAAAGGGAAGCGUUUGACACCAGUGUUGUUUUUCCGAAAAUCAAUUAAGAAUGUUUUAUUUUGAGAGUUAUGACUUCAUCGGCUUGCUCCUCUCUUAUGAAACUUUCUUAAUGCACUUUCGGUUAACAAGUCAACAUCAAUUUCUUUGCUGUAAAAGGUAUAGGAAGGUGGCUUUCUUUUCGGAGAAGUGUUUAUAGCCUGUACUCUGCAAUCGGAGAGAUUGAGUCUGCAGCGUAGAUCCUUCGGGUUAGAUACAUUGUGCUAAGUUAUAGCUUUUCAUAGACAACUUGUUGAUAUGUUAGUCUGUAGCUUACUCGCUUUGCUAUUUACCUACGCUUAGGAUGUUG
rnacentral:misc_RNA from 1 species